AGUGGCGGACGGGUGAGUAACACGUAAGAAUUUGCCUUUAGGAGGGGGACAACAACUGGAAACGGUUGCUAAUACCACAUAUGCUUUCGAGUGAAACGGAUUUUUCCGCCUAAAGAGAAGCUUGCGGCUGAUUAGCUUGUUGGUGAGGUAAUGGCUCACCAAGGCGACGAUCAGUAUCUGGUUUGAGAGGACGAUCAGACACACUGGAACUGAGACACGGUCCAGACUCCUACGGGAGGCAGCAGUGGGGAAUUUUCCGCAAUGGGCGAAAGCCUGACGGAGCAAUACCGCGUGAGGGAUGACGGCCUAUGGGUUGUAAACCUCUUUUUUCAGGGAGGAAUCAAAUGACGUGUACCUGAAGAAUAAGCAUCGGCUAACUCCGUGCCAGCAGCCGCGGUAAGACGGGGGAUGCAAGUGUUAUCCGGAAUCACUGGGCGUAAAGCGUCUGUAGGUGGUCAAAUAAGUCAACUGUUAAAUCUUGAGGCUCAACCUCAAAAUCGCAGUCGAAACUAUUAGACUAGAGUAUAGUAGGGGUAAAGGGAAUUUCCAGUGGAGCGGUGAAAUGCGUAGAGAUUGGAAAGAACACCGAUGGCGAAGGCACUUUACUGGGCUAUUACUAACACUCAGAGACGAAAGCUAGGGUAGCAAAUGGGAUUAGAUACCCCAGUAGUCCUAGCCGUAAACAAUGGAUACUAGAUGU
rnacentral:rRNA from 1 species